rnacentral:lncRNA from 1 species
AUGGAGCAAAGAGCAUGCAGACCUAGUGGUGGGAGGAGAAAAUCCUUAAAUAAGAGACACGGGGGAAUGAUUAAUGGACUUCAAUGUCUGUACACUAAUGCGCAAAGCAUGGGAAAUAAACAAGAUGAGCUUGAGCUCCUGGUACAGCAAACUAAAUAUGACAUAAUAGGAAUCACUGAAACCUGGUGGGAUAAAUCCCACGAUUGGAAUGUAAUAAUGGAGGGAUACAAUCUAUUUCAAAGAAACAGACCAGACAAGAAAGGAGGAGGAGUGGCGUUAUAUGUCAGGGAUGUGUAUACCUGUGAAGAGAUCCAAGAUUUAGAACCUCAAAGCCAAAGUGAGAGCAUUUGGGUCAAAAUUAAGGGAGAGAAGAAUAACAGUGACCUCAUUGUGGGAGUUUACUAUAGAUCCCCAAGCCAAACGGAGGACAUAGAUGAUGCCUUCCUGGAACAGAUGGCCAAGCAUGCAAAAGGAAGGGAGAUAGUAGUAAUGGGGGACUUCAAUUACCCGGAUAUUUGUUGGAUGUCAAACUCAGCCAAGAGCAUAAGGUCAAACAGAUUCCUCACUGCCCUUGCAGACAACUUCAUUGUCCAGAAAGUGGGAGAAGCAACAAGAGGAACAGCCAUUUUAGAUCUGGUCCUAACCAAUGUUGAUGACCUGGUUAGUGGGGUAGAAGUGGAAGGAUCAUUAGGCGCGAGUGAUCAUGCUCUUCUGAAGUUUACUAUACAGCGGAAAGGAGCAGCCAAGCAUACUAGGACUCAAUUUCUCGACUUUAAGAAAGCCGACUUCAUAAAGCUUAGGGAAGUGCUGGGUGAGAUCCCAUGGACAGUAAUACUAAAAGGAAAGGGAGUUCAAGAUGGCUGGGAGUUUGUUAAGAGGGAGAUAGUAAAAGCACAACUUCAGGCAAUACCAAUGAGACGGAAACAUGGAAGGUGCCUAAAGAAGCCAGGGUGGCUAUCUAAAGAACUUUUAACUGAGUUAAGAUUAAAAAGGAUGUGUACAAAAAAUGGAAAAGGGGGGAAACCACCAAAGAGGAAUUCAAACAAAUAG